GUUGGGUAGGGGAGCGUUCUGUAAGCCUGUGAAGGUGGCCUGUGAGGGUUGCUGGAGGUAUCAGAAGUGCGAAUGCUGACAUAAGUAACGAUAAAGCGGGUGAAAAGCCCGCUCGCCGGAAGACCAAGGGUUCCUGUCCAACGUUAAUCGGGGCAGGGUGAGUCGACCCCUAAGGCGAGGCCGAAAGGCGUAGUCGAUGGGAAACGGGUUAAUAUUCCCGUACUUGGUGUUACUGCGAAGGGGGGACGGAGAAGGCUAUGUUGGCCGGGCGACGGUUGUCCCGGUUUAAGCGUGUAGGUGUGUGUUCCAGGUAAAUCCGGUUCACUUUAACACUGAGGCGUGAUGACGAGGCACUACGGUGCUGAAGCAACAAAUGCCCUGCUUCCAGGAAAAGCCUCUAAGCAUCAGGUAACAUCAAAUCGUACCCCAAACCGACACAGGUGGUCAGGUAGAGAAUACCAAGGCGCUUGAGAGAACUCGGGUGAAGGAACUAGGCAAAAUGGUGCCGUAACUUCGGGAGAAGGCACGCUGACACGUAGGUGAAGUGAUUUACUCAUGGAGCUGAAGUCAGUCGAAGAUACCAGCUGGCUGCAACUGUUUAUUAAAAACACAGCACUGUGCAAACACGAAAGUGGACGUAUACGGUGUGACGCCUGCCCGGUGCCGGAAGGUUAAUUGAUGGGGUCAGCGCAAGCGAAGCUCCUGAUCGAAGCCCCGGUAAACGGCGGCCGUAACUAUAACGGUCCUAAGGUAGCGAAAUUCCUUGUCGGGUAAGUUCCGACCUGCACGAAUGGCGUAAUGAUGGCCAGGCUGUCUCCACCCGAGACUCAGUGAAAUUGAACUCGCUGUGAAGAUGCAGUGUACCCGCGGCAAGACGGAAAGACCCCGUGAACCUUUACUAUAGCUUGACACUGAACAUUGAGCCUUGAUGUGUAGGAUAGGUGGGAGGCUUUGAAGUGUGGACGCCAGUCUGCAUGGAGCCGGCCUUGAAAUACCACCCUUUAAUGUUUGAUGUUCUAACGUGGACCCGUGAUCCGGGUUGCGGACAGUGUCUGGUGGGUAGUUUGACUGGGGCGGUCUCCUCCUAAAGAGUAACGGAGGAGCACGAAGGUUGGCUAAUCCUGGUCGGACAUCAGGAGGUUAGUGCAAUGGCAUAAGCCAGCUUGACUGCGAGCGUGACGGCGCGAGCAGGUGCGAAAGCAGGUCAUAGUGAUCCGGUGGUUCUGAAUGGAAGGGCCAUCGCUCAACGGAUAAAAGGUACUCCGGGGAUAACAGGCUGAUACCGCCCAAGAGUUCAUAUCGACGGCGGUGUUUGGCACCUCGAUGUCGGCUCAUCACAUCCUGGGGCUGAAGUAGGUCCCAAGGGUAUGGCUGUUCGCCAUUUAAAGUGGUACGCGAGCUGGGUUUAGAACGUCGUGAGACAGUUCGGUCCCUAUCUGCCGUGGGCGCUGGAGAACUGAGGGGGGCUGCUCCUAGUACGAGAGGACCGGAGUGGACGCAUCACUGGUGUUCGGGUUGUCAUGCCAAUGGCACUGCCCGGUAGCUAAAUGCGGAAGAGAUAAGUGCUGAAAGCAUCUAAGCACGAAACUUGCCCCGAGAUGAGUUCUCCCUGAGACUUAGAGUCUCCUGAAGGAACGUUGAAGACGACGACGUUGAUAGGCCGGGUGUGUAAGCGCAGCGAUGCGUUGAGCUAACCGGUACUAAUGAACCGUGAGGCUUAACCUUACAACGCCGAAG
rnacentral:rRNA from 1 species